rnacentral:tRNA from 1 species
AAGGGGAUAAGCUAAAUAAAAAAUUAAAGCUUUUGGGCUCAUAACCCAAGUAUGGGUUCACCUCUCCUUAUU